AUCCAGCUGACGAGUCCCAAAUAGGAAGAAAGGAGUAUCCUGGAU
rnacentral:hammerhead_ribozyme from 1 species